UGGGGAAUAUUGGACAAUGGGCGCAAGCCUGAUCCAGCCAUGCCGCGUGAGUGAAGAAGGCCUUCGGGUUGUAAAGCUCUUUUUGUCAGGGAAGAAACGGUAGUAGCGAAUAACUAUUACUAAUGACGGUACCUGAAGAAUAAGCACCGGCUAACUACGUGCCAGCAGCCGCGGUAAUACGUAGGGUGCAAGCGUUAAUCGGAAUUACUGGGCGUAAAGCGUGCGCAGGCGGUUGUGUAAGUCAGAUGUGAAAUCCCCGGGCUCAACCUGGGAAUUGCAUUUGAGACUGCACGGCUAGAGUGUGUCAGAGGGGGGUAGAAUUCCACGUGUAGCAGUGAAAUGCGUAGAUAUGUGGAGGAAUACCGAUGGCGAAGGCAGCCCCCUGGGAUAACACUGACGCUCAUGCACGAAAGCGUGGGGAGCAAACAGGAUUAGAUACCCCGGUAGUCCCUGAGCGGGCUGGCAAGGCGCAU
rnacentral:rRNA from 1 species